CCAGCCUCCCCCACCUCCCCAGCCUCCUCAGCAACCCCAGCCUCCCCAGCCUCCCCAGCCUCCCCCGCCUCCCCAGCCUCCCCAGCCUCCCCCACCUCCCCAGCCUCCCCAGCCUCCCCAGCAACCCCAGCCUCCCCACCUCCCCAGCCUCCCCAGCAACCCAGCCUCCCCCGCCUCCCAGCCUCCCCAGCCUCCCCCGCCUCCCACCCAGCCUCCCCCGCCUCCCCAGCCUCCCCCGCUCCCCAGCCUCCCCAGCAACCCCAGCCUCCCCCACCUCCCCAGCCUCCCCCGCCUCCCCGCCUCCCCAGCAACCCCAGCCUCCCCACCUCCCCAGCCUCCCCGCCUCCCCGCCUCCCCCGCCUCCCCAGCCUCCCCAGCAACCCCAGCCUCCCCUGCCUCCCUAGCUGGAGCCCGUGGACGCCUCCUCCAGGCACAGCAGCUCCGCAGCCACUGCUGGUCUCUGCCUCAGCCACAUCCAGGAGCUGUGGGUGCGCCUGGCGUGGCCUGACCCUGCCCAGGCUCAGGGGCUGGGCACCCAGCUCGGCCAGGACAUGUGUGAGGCCACCCUCUUCUACACGGAGCUGCUUCGGAAGAAGGUGGACACUCAGCCAGGGGCAGCCGGGGAAGCAGUGAGUGAGGCGCUCUGCGUGGUCCUCAACAACGUGGAGCUCGUGCGCAAAGCUGCUGGGCAGGCCUU
rnacentral:sRNA from 1 species